rnacentral:rRNA from 1 species
UAGGGAAUCUUCGGCAAUGGACGAAAGUCUGACCGAGCAACGCCGCGUGAGUGAAGAAGGUUUUCGGAUCGUAAAACUCUGUUGUUAGAGAAGAACAAGGACGUUAGUAACUGAACGUCCCCUGACGGUAUCUAACCAGAAAGCCACGGCUAACUACGUGCCAGCAGCCGCGGUAAUACGUAGGUGGCAAGCGUUGUCCGGAUUUAUUGGGCGUAAAGCGAGCGCAGGCGGUUUCUUAAGUCUGAUGUGAAAGCCCCCGGCUCAACCGGGGAGGGUCAUUGGAAACUGGGAGAAUUGAGUGCAGAAGAGGAGAGUGGAAUUCCAUGUGUAGCGGUGAAAUGCGUAGAUAUAUGGAGGAAAACCAGUGGCGAAGGCGGCUCGCUGGUCUGUAACUGACGCUGAGGCUCGAAAGCGUGGGGAGCAAACAGG